AUUGAACGCUGGCGGCAUGCUUUACACAUGCAAGUCGAACGGUAACAGGCCUUCGGGUGCUGACGAGUGGCGAACGGGUGCGUAAUGCAUCGGAGCGUGCCCAGAGGUGGGGGAUAACGCAGCGAAAGCUGUGCUAAUACCGCAUGUGAUCUGAGGAUGAAAGCGGGGGACCAAGCAGCAAUGUUUGGCCUCGCGCCUCUGGAGCGGCCGAUGUCAGAUUAGGUAGUUGGUGGGGUAAAGGCCUACCAAGCCGACGAUCUGUAGCUGGUCUGAGAGGACGACCAGCCACACUGGGACUGAGACACGGCCCAGACUCCUACGGGAGGCAGCAGUGGGGAAUUUUGGACAAUGGGCGCAAGCCUGAUCCAGCAAUGCCGCGUGCGGGAAGAAGGCCUUCGGGUUGUAAACCGCUUUUGUACGGAACGAAAAGGCUCUGGCUAAUACCUGGGGCUGAUGACGGUACCGUAAGAAUAAGCACCGGCUAACUACGUG
rnacentral:rRNA from 1 species